GAUGAACGCUGGCGGCGUGCCUAAUACAUGCAAGUCGAGCGAACAGACGAGGAGCUUGCUCCUCUGACGUUAGCGGCGGACGGGUGAGUAACACGUGGAUAACCUACCUAUAAGACUGGGAUAACUUCGGGAAACCGGAGCUAAUACCGGAUAAUAUAUUGAACCGCAUGGUUCAAUAGUGAAAGACGGUUUUGCUGUCACUUAUAGAUGGAUCCGCGCCGCAUUAGCUAGUUGGUAAGGUAACGGCUUACCAAGGCAACGAUGCGUAGCCGACCUGAGAGGGUGAUCGGCCACACUGGAACUGAGACACGGUCCAGACUCCUACGGGAGGCAGCAGUAGGGAAUCUUCCGCAAAGGGCGAAAGCUUGACGGAGCAACGCCGCGUGAGUGAUGAAGGUCUUCGGAUCGUAAAACUCUGUUAUUAGGGAAGAACAAAUGUGUAAAUAACUAUGCACGUCUUGACGGUACCUAAUCAGAAAGCCACGGCUAACUACGUG
rnacentral:rRNA from 1 species